rnacentral:rRNA from 1 species
AAUGGGCGAAAGCCUGACGCAGCAACGCCGCGUGAGUGAUGAAGGCCCUAUGGGUUGUAAAGCUCUGUCAGUGGGGAAGAACGGGCGCGCGCUAAUAUCGCGUGUUCCUGACGUUACCCGCGAAGGAAGCACCGGCUAACCCUGUGCCAGCAGCCGCGGUAAUACAGGGGGUGCGAGCGUUGUUCGGAAUCACUGGGCGUAAAGCGCGUGUAGGCGGAAAGGUCAGUCUGUUGUGAAAGCCUGCGGCUCAACCGCAGAAGUGCAGUGGAUACUACCUUUCUUGAGUACGUCAGAGGAGAGCGGAAUUCCCGGUGUAGAGGUGAAAUUCGUAGAUAUCGGGAGGAACACCAGUGGCGAAAGCGGCUCUCUGGGGCGAUACUGACGCUGAGACGCGAAAGCGUGGGGAGCAAA